rnacentral:rRNA from 1 species
CAUCCGGAGCUUAUAAUGCAAGUCGAACGGUAAGUAGUGUAGCAAUACAUUACCAAGAGUGACGUACGGGUGCGUAACACGUAUGCAACCUACCUUGUACUGGAGGAUAGCUCGGGGAAACUCGAAUUAACCCUCCAUAAUAUAAUUGGAUGGCAUCAUUUGAUUAUUAAAAUUCCGGUGGUACAAGAUGGGCAUGCGUCUGAUUAGUUAGUUGGCGGGGUAACGGCCCACCAAGACGAUGAUCAGUAGGGGAACUGAGAGGUUGAUCCCCCACACUGGCACUGAGAUACGGGCCAGACUCCUACGGGAGGCAGCAGUAGGGAAUAUUGGUCAAUGGAUGAAAGUCUGAACCAGCCAUGCCGCGUGCAGGAAGAAGGCCUUCUGGGUUGUAAACUGCUUUUGCCAGGGGAUAAAAUGACCAUGCGUGGUUAAUUGAAGGUACCUGGUGAAUAAGCCACGGCUAACUACGUGCCAGCAGCCGCGGUAAUACGUAGGUGGCAAGCGUUGUCCGGAUUUAUUGGGUUUAAAGGGUGCGUAGGCGGCCCUGUAAGUCAGUGCUGAAAUAUCCCAGCUUAACUGGGAGGGUGGCAUUGAUACUGCAGGGCUUGAGUACAGAUGAGGUAGGCGGAAUUGACGGUGUAGCGGUGAAAUGCAUAGAUAUCGUCAAGAACACCGAUAGCGAAGGCAGCUUACUGGGCUGUAACUGACGCUGAUGCACGAAAGUGUGGGGAUCAAACAGGAUUAGAUACCCUGGUAGUCCACACUGUAAACGUUGAUUACUCGCUGUUUGCGAUACACUGCAAGCGGCUUAGCGAAAGCG